rnacentral:rRNA from 1 species
UACGGGAGGCAGCAGUGGGGAAUAUUGCACAAUGGGCGAAAGCCUGAUGCAGCGACGCCGCGUGAGGGAUGACGCCUUCGGGUUGUAAACCUCUUUCAGUAGGGACGAAGCGCAAGUGACGGUACCUACAGAAGAAGCACCGGCCAACUACGUGCCAGCAGCCGCGGUAAU